ACGGGUGAGUAAUGUCUGGGAAACUGCCUGAUGGAGGGGGGUAACUACUGGAAACGGUAGCUAAUACCGCAUAACGUCGCAAGACCAAAAGAAGGGGGGAACCUUCGGGCCUCUUGCCAUCGGAUGUGCCCAGAUGGGAUUAGCUAGUAGGUGGGGUAACGGCUCACCUAGGCGACGAUCCCUAGCUGGUCUGAGAGGAUGACCAGCCACACUGGAACUGAGACACGGUCCAG
rnacentral:rRNA from 1 species